rnacentral:misc_RNA from 1 species
GUGGAGACCAUGAUUUUAACAAAGCAAUAUCGUUGUAUACACUCAUCAAGCUGUCAAUGCACAAAAGGGCAUCUAAGUGAAGAUGCAAUUUUUUUAGUGUUUCAACAGCUGAACUGGAACCCUAAAUUGAUUGCCACCCUGUCAUGUGUAUGCAAAUGGUUUGAUGAUUUGGCCAAGCGAGUGUUAUGGAAAGAGUUUUGCCGAGCAAGGGCUCCAAAAAUGAUGCU